GUUAGGAAUAUUGGACAAUGGGCGCAAGCCUGAUCCAGCCAUGCCGCGUGAACGAUGAAGGCCUUCGGGUUGUAAAGUUCUUUAGCCGAUGAUUAUAAUGACUGUAGUCGGAAAAUAAGCCCCGGCUAACUUCGUGCCAGCAGCCGCGGUAAUACGAAGGGGGCGAGCGUUAUUCGGAAUCACUGGGCGUAAAGCGUGCGUAGGCGGUCUCGUAAGUUAGGAGUGAAAGCCCAGGGCUCAACCUUGGAAUUGCUCUUAAAACUGCAAGGCUAGAAUCUCGGAGAGGAUAGCGGAAUUUCCAGUGUAGCAGUGAAAUGCGUAGAUAUUGGAAGGAACACCAGUGGCGUAAGCGGCUAUCUGGACCGAUAUUGACGCUGAGGCACGAAAGCGUGGGGAGCAAACAGGAUUAGAAACCCUGGUAGUCC
rnacentral:rRNA from 1 species